rnacentral:miRNA from 1 species
UCCCUCUGUUCCUAAAUAACU